rnacentral:rRNA from 1 species
AGUGAACGCUGGCGGUAGGCCUAACGCAUGCAAGUCGAACGGCAGCACAGUAAGUGCUUGCUCUUACGGGUGGCGACUGGCGGGCGGGUGAGGAAUACAUCGGUAUCUACUUUUUAGUGGGGGCUAACGUGGGGACUAUUACGCUAUUACUGCAUACGACGUACGGGUGGAAGCAUGGGAUCUUCGGAUCUUGGGCGAUUGAAUGAGGCGAUGUCGGAUUAGCUAGUUGGCGGGGUAAAGGCCCACCAAGGCGACGAUCCGUAGCUGGUCUGAGAGGAUGAUCAGUCACACUGGAACUGAGACACGGUCCAGACUCCUACGGGAGGCAGCAGUGGGGAAUAUUGGACAAUGGGCGCAAGCCUGAUCCAGCCAUACCGCGUGUGUGAAGAAGGCCUUCGGAUUGUAAAGCCCUUUUGUUUGGGAAGAAAAGCAGCAGGUUAAUACCCCGCUGUUCUGACGGUACCAAAAGAAUAAGCACCGGCUAACUUCGUG